UUGUUGUUACAAUGAUUCUGCUUCCUGAACCAAACCAAUCUCGACUCCCCGCUAUCGCUUGUAACUGAUCUAAUUUAUCUACAUCAUCGAGUAUGAGAAGAACUCUUCUACUGUGAAGUCUUUCCUUUAUCAUAUUCAUUCCUCUGUGAACAUUGCCAAUCUUAAUCUUGUCUGUCUUCAGGAUAUCAAAAAGAAGUUGUUCUUGCAGUUUGACAUGACCAUUUGGCUGCUGUGAAAUUUCUCGAACAUUGGCAAGAAAACAUUUCCCAUCAAAACUAUGAAACAACUCAUUAUACAUGGCCUUGGCAAUGGUUGUUUUCCCUAUGCCUCCCAUUCCAUAUAUUCCUACAAUGCAGACCUCGCUUGAUCCAGCAUUUAACAAGAAGUUCAAUUGUUGCACACGAGGAUUUAUCCCAACUGGAUAGAAGGCUACGAACAAGUAUGUGCUCCUCAGUUCUCUCAAAAUCUCCCCAACAAUUUUCUUUAUAAAUUUUGCCUCAUGCCUGCAAUUAAUUGUCAACAAAAUAGUGAGACUUUAAGCAUAAAACAGCCAAUUAGAAUAUAUUAUGUAAAGCACAAUCCAAAAUAUUUUAUAAUUUGUAGUUUUCCUGAAGAAAAUCCAGCCCCAAGCAAAACAUCUCAUAUUCCUUGGAUCACCAUUUAGUUCCUCAACCCUGAAUUAUCUACUGAUAAUGAACUUCUUCGCAAUAUAUAUCGUUACUUAAAUUUUUAAAAUUAUUUAUUUCUUGAAAUCUUUUUAAUUAUAUAUUGGAUAGUGAUGCAUGAUAUCCAUACACCAUAUCGAUCACUCCUCACAAGCCAAAGAAGUGAUUUAUUGACAAAUGCUGCAUCUCGAAAAAAUCCCUAAGAUUCAAAUUUCGUUGUGUUCUUUCCCGGCUUUUGUAUUUAUCAGGACUUCAAAACAAAGAAAGUGAUUGGAUAGGGUAAGAUGUAGGAUGGAGCCUAUCAAUGAUGUUUUGGAAACUCUUUAGUAGCUCAUACUCACUGUAAUUGUGAUUUGGAUUUAAAAAAAAAUCAAGAUGAUAAAAAACUGUAUAAAAACUAAAUUGAAACCAAUUAGUCCUAUAAAAAUUAGAUAAAAAAUAAUUAAUCCUACAAAAACUAAAACAAAAUAUAUCAUGAAAAUCAAUUAAAAAAAUAAAAUGCUUAAAACAAUUCUUAAAAUGGCUUAUUUUUUGAAAAAAUUUAAAAUGAUAAUAUAUUUAAUUCAUCUGAGUUUCACGACAUAACAACACUAUGACAAUCAUGUAAAAGUAUUUAUUUCAACAAAUAAAUCCCACAAAAAAAAACAUCACAAAGAAAAAUUCAAAAUUAACUAAAUGUUGUUUUUUAAAAAGAAAUUAUUCAAACGACAAAAUACUGGAUCAACCUGAAUUUUUUAGAUUAACUUGUCAAACAUAUGACACAGGUUAUGGUCUUAACUAGAUUUAAUAAUUUUUUAUUAAAUUUAUUUUUUAUCUUAUAUAAUAUUUUUAUAAAAAAAACCUGAAAGAAGCUAGAUGUGUGACCAUGGUAGACCAAUAUACCUAGGCCAUCUAAAAGAAAGAGCUUGACCUACACACUUGGGCUUGUUUUUAUUUAUUUUUUUUAAUUUUUUAAGGACAAACGAUUUGUCAUCCAUCUCUUUUCUUUAAAAACUAAAUGGAUAACACAUCAACUGCUAUUAGCAAAAUUUUGUGACGGGAGGGUCACAAGAAAAACAUGGCUUUAGUUUUUUUUUUUCAAAAGACCUUAGUUUUUACUCAAAACAUCUAGAAAACACCCUCAACCUAUUUAUGGCCUCAAACCGCUUAAAAGCAGCUCAAAAACCCGAAAUCAAUCCAAAUCCAAAAAUCUUUCAAUAGGCAAAUCUACCUCCUCGUGAAAGGAGAACGAAGAAAAACACCUAGAUCAAACUUUUAUUAUCAAAUGGAACCUAUUAAAACUAAAAUUGAUCAUUUUGUGGUUAAAAGUGGUGUCUCUGAUGGUUUUUUCUCUAUAUAUCGGAAUCCAACUAGCCUCUCAUUCCUCUCACAAGAAAAUGAUCAAAAAAUAAGAAAAAUAAAGUUUGAUAUCAAAAUUGAAUUUCUAUAAACUAAAAGACCUAUUAUCUAUUAACAUAAAAAUAUGAGGGACCAAACUAAACUUUUUUAAAGAAAUGGUUAAUAGUUAAUAGUCAACAUACUUCUUAGAAUAAUGUGAUUUCUACGAAUUUUUUUUUAUUAUUAUUAAUUAACUCUUAGCCGCUACGGGAUUGUAGUAUCAUCAAAUGGUUAAUAGACAACACACUUCUUAUAAUUUUGUGAUUUCUACAAAAGAAAAUUGUUUAUUAAUUAUUUUCUUCCCAUCUCAAGUUAUUAAUUAAUUAAGUGAAUGAUCACAGAUCACAAUCUCUCUGUUUUGAAAUUCCCAAGCAGAAAGGUUUCGUGUUUCCGCCUGAGACUCGCACGUCAAGGACUCCUUUAAUAAUAACAUGUUCAUCCUUAAUAGCUUUGUAUGCCUGCCCCAAUCAUACGAUUUCGGAUGGUAGAAAAGAAAAACAAUUUAAAUGGUUCAAUUUUAUUUUUUUUAUUAUUAUUAUAUACAAAAGGUUCAAAUUUGAGCAUUUUAUCACUUAGAUCAUAUCAUUGAUAACAUAAGAAUUACUAUUAAUUCAAAUUGUAAAGUCAAUUAAAUUAGUAAGGAUCGAUGGUUAAUUUUAUGAGUGCUUACCCGUCUGCAACAUUCCUCAAAUCCCAUCCAGACAAAUUUGCAGCUUCAGUCAAAGCCAUCCUCCACGUCGCCACCAUGUCCUUGUCCAUCUGGAGCACAAGCCUUUCUUCAUGUUCAGCAAAGGCCUCGGCAAAACUUCCAGUUUGUUCGCUUACAUCAGAUGGAUCAACAUCAUAGAAUAUAGGAAAAACAAGUUGCCUACAACUUCUCCUACACUCCAUGAUCUUCACUAGUUCCUCAAGACACCAUCUUGAAUUUGCAUAAUUUCUUGAGAACACAAUGACUGAAACCCUAGACUUUUGGAUAGCUUGUAAUAGCUCCGUCGAAAUAUCUUCACCCCUUCGGAGCUCAUUGUCGUCUCUAAAUGUGUUGAUUCCAGCAUCUUUUAAGGAAAAGUAGAGAUGAUCGGUGAAAUUUUUGCGCGUGUCCUCACCUCUGAAACUCAAAAACACAUCAUAAAUCCACGGUUUUGAAGAUGAAGACGCAGUUGAAAAUGAAGAUGUCAUUGUAACAUGAAAGCUAUGGUGGUUCGAGUGGAAGAAAGAUAAUGACCAUAAAAGUUUAUGUGAAGGACACUUAUACAGUGAGAGAGACUUGAGUAAUCGCAAUUGGAGUAAUAUCUUUAUUCGUACUCUGAUAGAUUUAUUUAAAAAAUAAAAGAUCAACCAGACAUUUCUAUAAUUUAGUUGUUUUUUUAAAUUCCCUCUAUUCCUUAAAUAAUAUAACGUUCGUAGAUAACAUUUUAUAUCAUCACUCUGAAUUUAAUAAAAUAAAUAAAUUAUUUAUAAAAUUAUCAUUAUAUUUUAUUUAAUUUAAAACUCAAUCAAUUUGUCCACUAGCCAAGGUCAGAUGCAAAAACAAAUUAACCUAAAGUUGACUUAGUUUGGUAAAUUCAAUUAAAAGCUGUUUUGUGAUAUCAUUUUGAUUUAAUCAACUCAAUCCAGAAUAACUAGAGUCUUGAAUAGAGUUAUGGGCAAAGUUAAGUCUAAUAAUAUUAAUAAAUACUAAUUAGUUUUAAUGGUAAUAAAUUUGAGUUCUUUCAAAGCUAUUAGAGACUUAUAUAAUCAUUAAUUUUAGAGUUUGUAGGAUUAGUCGAUGUGUGUGCAAACUGAUUUGGAUACCGAUGUUAAUAAAAAAAAAACAAAUAUUAAUUAAUGAGAUGAUAAAGGUUAAAUAUUAAGAUAGUGUUUGGUAUUGCAAUAACAAUUAUUUUUUAAAUAUAUUUUUUAGAAAUGACUGAAAUCUUGACUUUGCAUAAUUUCUUGAGAACACAGUGACUGAAAUCCUAGACUUUUGGAUCGCUUGUAAUAGCUCCGUCGAAAUAUCUUCACCCCUUCGGAGCUCAUUGUCGUCUCUGAAUGUGUUGAUUCCAGCAUCUUUCAAGGCAAACUAGAGAUGAUCGGUGAAAUUUUUGCGCGUGUCCUCGCCUCUAAAACUCAAAAACACAUCAUAAAUCCACGGUUUUGAAGAUGAAUAUGAAGAUGAAGAUGAAGAUACAGAUGAAAAUGAAGAUGUUCAUUGUAACAUGAAAGCUAUGGAAGGAUUAAUUCUCCCUCAUACUCCGACGACCAAUGAAAAGUUGCGUAUAUAUACGAGUUCUCUUUUUUUGUCCCGAGAAUAUUAAUGCAGGAGGCAAGAUUUAUGCAUGUGAAAGCGUGAAAAAAUAUUUUUCAUGUUAUAUUUGUUUUUAUAUUUUAAAAGUAUUUUAAAAAUUUAUUUUAUUUUAUUUUAUUCUUUGUUUAAAAUUUUUAUUUUUGUGUUUUUAAAUUAUUUUAAUGAAUUGAUAUUAAAAAUAAUGUUUUAAAAAUAAAAAAAUAAAUUUUAAUACAAGUAAAAUUUAAAAACAAAAUGUGUGUCAUCAUUAACUUAUUAUCAAAUCUGAAAAAGUCACUUAAAGUAGAUAGGACUUGGGAGAAUGGUAGUAAUUAGGGGUGUUCACGGUCCGGUUCGGUUCGGUUUUAAUCUAAAAAUUCAACCGAACCGAAAAACAGUAUUUCUUAUUAAUAUAACACGAACCGAACCGAUAACCGGUUCAAACCGAACCGGUUUUGUUCGGUUCGGGUUGGUUUUUUAGCAUAAAAACUAGAAAAACCAGACUCAUCUUCAUCACUGAGCUAAAUCAAAGGAAAAAUCUGACAUCAAAUAUCAAUCUAAGCUAUUAAUCACAGCAACCACUUAGAAAUUCAAGAAAAGCAACUAGAAAAAGCAAAGCCAGCUGUGAAUGCAAAGCCAGCAGCAUCAGUUUGUCCUUUCAAAGCUGUGGAAUGUUUGCAGCUUAAUUCGGGAUCUGGGGAUUUUGGUAUUUUACUCACUGGCCUUUUUAGGGCACGGACAGCCUUUGCAUUUACUAACACGCAGGACAUGUAAUUGGAUUUGCAGCAGCCAGUGCGUGUUGUACUUUUGAUAGGGUUGCUAGGCUUUCAUCUUAAUGUGUAUAGUGCUUUAUGAACCUUGAGCAUAGAGCUGAGAGACUAGGGUCCAUUAAAGGAUAAGAGAACAAUGCACAAGCUCUGUCGGCUGAUCCGUGCUCUCUUUCUUCUAGGUUGGUUUCUUGUGAUCGGGGGGAAAUAGAAGGGAAGGCUUGAGGGGGGGGGUGACGGCUGGAAUGGAGAAAAGUGAUUUAGGGUUCUAGGAAGGGGAAGGAGAAGGGAAAGGGGAAGCCUGGAGGGGGAGAGGGGGGGUUGGCGACUAGAAAUGGAGAAAGUGAUUUAGGGUUUUGGGAAAGGGAAGGGAAAGGGAAAAAGGGGAAGGCUGGAGGGGGAGGGGGGUUGACGGCUGUUAAGAGUGUAAGUGAUUUAGGGUUAGGAAUUAUUCUUUUUAUACUCUUUUUUUAAACCGGUUCGGUUUGGUCCGGUUCAAUCGGUUUAAGCUUUUUUAAACCGGAAUCAAACUGGACCGGGUGGUUUUUUUUAUUUUUUAAUCGGUUUAUUCGGUUUUUUCUAUCGGUUCGAUUUUUUCGGUUAAUUUUUUCUCGGUUUUUUCAGUUUAAUCGGUUAGUCGGUUUUUUUUAACACCCCUAAUAGUAAUAAUAGAUUUUUGGAUUUGAUUAUUUUUCUUCUUUUAUUUUGAUCGUUUGAAAUGCUUUUUGGGAUUAAAAAUUAGAAUUUAAAAGGGCUUUUGAAAGGAUUUUGAAAUUAAAUAAAUUGUUUUUUUUUUAAUAAAAAAAAAUCUGCCAACCCUAAAUUUUUAGUGAGCUUUUGUCAUCGAAACACCAUAAUAAACAAUUCGUCAGCUUAGAAUGAGCGAUGCAUUGCCCUCAUCUACCCCUCUUUUUUAAAAAACAAUGCUUGGGUCAACUUUCCAAAUACAUACUUAUGAGCUAACUCACUAAUCGAGGUGUACCGCCACCUAGGCCUAGCGCAACCUAUCUCGAUUCUUUUUAAUUUAUCCUUUUUUUUCUUAAAUCCCAAAAAUUAAUUUUAUUUUUUAUAAAUAUUAUUUAUAUGUGAUUUUUUAGCCAAAUUAAUAAUUCAAAGUUAAAAUAAAAUAACUGCUUGAUAAGUUUUACCAAAUAUUGGUGUAGGAAUUAGAUAGAGAUUUUCUAUUCUUUUAAAAAAAUAUUUUAACUUAAUUUAAACAUCAAGAUAUGAUCAAAAUUUGUUAUUAAUUUAUUUGGGAAAACUAGAAAAUACAAGUUUUAAAUUAACACAUUUAAAAAAUAUAAGAAUUAUUUAACCAAAUUGACAUAAAUAGUAAAUUUAAGGAUUUUGAUUUUUUUCCCAAAAUGCUUACAUAAAAUCUUUAUUUUUCUCUCAUAAAUUAUAACUAAUGAUUCCUUUUUUGCACUAUUCAAAUCGACAUAAAUAUAAUAUAAAAUUUAAGGAUUUUGAUUUUUUUUCCCUCAAAAUGCAUACAUAAAAUCUUUAUUUUUCUAUCAUAAAUUAUUACUAAUAUCAAGAAAUCCAUUCUUUUUAUUGAAUAAGAAAUAUUUUUAAGAUCUUUGUAACAACUAAUAAAAAAUUUGUUUUUUCACUUUUCAAUGACAACUUACCAUUCAAUUUAUUAUUGAUACGCUAACUCUUACCUCUUUAAAGGCUAUCUUUAAAAUUAUUGCUUAUAUAAUAAUUAGGGACCAACAUUAGGGAUCAAUAAUUAAUUAUUCGAGUAAUUAUUUUAUUGAGCGGUCGUCUCUUCUUUUGCGUCAACUACUUGAUCAAUUUAACAAUGGGUUUUUAAUUUUAUAAAUAAUUUGUUUUUGUAUUUUAAAAAACUUAUUUUUUUAUUUUAAAUUAAUUUUUAAAAGAUUAAUUAGAUAUAUUAAUAUUAAAAAUUAAUUUUAAAAAAAAUUCAUAAAUUUUCAAAUAAAAAAUCACUUUAAAAAAUAUUCAUUAUUAUAAUAUCAAAUAUAUUUUAAAAAAAAAAUACACACAAGGUCAACUGCACGGCAUGAGACGCAUGUGCCGCGUGCAUCUUGCGAGGGCAUCGCUCAAAUAUGCUAUUUUUAUUUUUAUUUUUCUAUUGUUUGAAAAAAACCUCUCUUGAGUUCUCUUGUUAAUAAACAAUAUAUAUUCUGUCAAUGUCGGCCACAAAGAUAGCAACUUGCAGAGAUAGAUAUAGAACACAAUCCAAAUCCCUUUGAAAAACAUUUUAGUUAUACGUUACUGGGGAAUUCAAUUUUUUUUUUUUUACAAGGCUGGUUACCAAAUUAAUUGGAAAUAAAUAAUUUUUUUUAUUUUAAUUAUACUAUUAGAAUACAAAAAAAAUUAAAACUAGAGUCAAUAACCAAUUUUAUAUUCUUACAAUGGUUUUUACAUAAAUAUCAUGUUAAUUUGGUAUUUAACUAAACAUAAAAGAAUAAAAUAAAAAAUCAUAGUGUUGCUCAAUUGACUAGAAACAAAUAAUUUUUUUUUUUUUUUAAUUAUAGAUAGAAACAAUCAACAUACUGGCAGAAUAAAAAAAAUUAAAGCUAGAGUCAAUGGCCAAUUUUAUAUUUUUACAAUGAUUUUUAUAUAAUUAUCUUGAUCAAAUAAGGGUUAAAUGAGGGGAGGGGUAAUUUGAUAUUUGACUUUUUUUAUAAUUUAUUUUUUUAAAAAAAUUCUUUCAAUAUUUAAUUAAUUAAAAAUUAAAAAAAAAUCUAGAAGAUAUAAUUCAAGUCUAAUAAGAGGCCUGCGGAAUUUAGGGCACAAAACCACCCCAACAAAUAUUGUUGGUUGCAUGCGACGUGCAACUCGGAACAAAAGUUAUGGCGAAAAUACAGAGAGAGACGUAAAAAAUUCACAAAUCAGACUCCGACUAUCCUUGCGCUGGACUGUCCUGUCAGAAUAGUAUAGCACUUCCAAAAUCUCCUCCAUCACAAAUCACCCUUUACUACACAGGCAUAAUGUAUAGAUCAUUAUGUUCAACAAAAGCUUCAACAAAGACAACAUUGAAAACGCCAUGACCAGAAGAGUGAAGCUAUGCCACAUCCAUGUUUUCCUCGACACUCUGUUGACUGGUCUCAAACCUCAAUCUUUUUGCUUGAGAUGGGUUAUCACAGCUUGAUCCCUCCCCAUAAUCAUUAUCAAGACCUCUCUUACCUUCAAGCCUUGCCUCGUCUUGCUCAUAUACUAGGUAUACUCCAUUCUUCUUCACAGUCAUUGUAUUUCCACAAUCUACAAUAAGCUCAACUUCAUCUUCACUAUCGAGUUGGAAGCUCUUAUUUGAUAUAUGGCCCUGCCAGAGGUGAUCUUCACAGGAUUUUACUAAGUUAACUGCUACUCUCCGAGAAUCCUUGGUAAAACCCUUAGUAUGAUUAGUCAAUUUGAUUGUAAUACGUUUAGUUUGUUUUUUCUCUAAAUGAGAUGAGCAAACAAUGCACACAUUCAUGCCCUUCAAGUUCCUGCCGUCGAAUUUUGGUAGUUUAAACAAUAUUGAAGCACCCUCAUUCUUAUAGUUGAACAAAGCAGGAAUCUCAUUUCCAGGAAGUACCAAACCAGAAAUACAUCCCUGCACAAAGAGUACCAUUUUUAUUUUACAUGUUAAACAACAACAUCCAAAAAAAAAUGCUUAAAAAGUAAAGAUAGACAGAUAAGAAUACCUUGUGCAUGCUAUUUUUUAAAGUAUUUGAGAUACUGAAGCAACCUUCCAUGUCAAUGUCUGUAAUGGACGUUGAUUUAUCCAAUCCUGGAGCCUCAAUCAGUUUGGGGCAAUUAGCAAUGUACAGUAAACGCAUACGUGAAGCUACUGUUAUAUCUGGUAACCUUUCCAAUGAUGUGCAGUUCAAAGCGUGCAAGACAUCUAAAUUUCUAGGUAAAUCUGGAAUUGUUUGUAGCCAGCUGGUAGACUUUGAAAACUGUUACGGUCCAAUUCCAGUUUAGUUAGUGAGGGUAAACUCCCAAGAUCACUAGGAAGCGCAUCAUCAGAUAGAUUGCAAUCACUGAGCAAUAAUGAUGUGAGUCUGUUUAAGCCAUGAAAAGAAGGUGGCAGCAGGUUGGUUGGACUGGGACUUUUUCUUGGCAGAAACAAUGACAUCAAACGUGAAGGAAAUGUUGCGGAAGUUGAACCUUUACAGCCACAAAGUGAUAAAUCUUUGAGGUUCUUCAGUUUUACUAUGGUACUUGGUACCUGUCUUAUGGCAGUGUCAUCUGCAUGGAGAAUUGUCAAGGAUUCCAAAUCUCCCAAGUCCUCAGGCAAUUCAUCAAAUUUUGAGCAGCCUGAGAGGUAAAGAAUCUGGAUAGACUUCGACUUCCAGAAGCUGCUCGGGAGCCUCAUAAGUUGCUUGCAAUCUUUGAAAUUUACCAAAACAAGUCUUUCAAGGCAUCCAAUAGAAUGAUGAACUUCAACCAAACUUCUGCAGUCUUUGAGUUUUAACUUCUCCAGAUGUGGAAGUCUGGAAAAGUCGGGAGUCCGAGAUAGGCAAUGAGAAUGACUGAGAUUAAGAAACUUCAACUUCCAAAGGAACUGAGGAAAAGAAGCAAGAUUCAGGAGUUAGAAAGAAAUUGUUAUUGUUUGAUAGCAUACUAAAGUUUAGAUAAAUAUUUGAUAGUCUUAGCAUACCUUAGAAUUCUUAACCUGUCUGAGGUUGCUGUAUCGCAUAUCUAUAGCAACAAGGUUUUCCCCAUAGAGGCCAUCAGGUAUGAACGAGAGUGGAAAUCCAUGCCAACAGAGCCAGGUUAAUUUUCUCAAAAGAUAUUCACAGCCUCCACCAAGCUUUACAUGAUUGAGCUGGAGCAGCCUUAGGUUUUGCAGAUUGCAAAACACAUUUACAUCAACUUUCAUGUCAUUCACUUUCAGCAAGUUUAUGGCCAUCCCUUGGAUUGCUUCAGUUCCCUGUCAAUAAACCACGUCAAGAGGAAAGGAUCAGAUAUUUUCAAAACAUGAAUUUAUACGAUGAUAAGUUUGAAUGCAUUCACCAUGUUUCUUCUCAAUAUGUCACCAACUUCUUCAGGAAUCCAUAAUCUACUCCGCCUUCCUGGAUUGUUCGGUGACUGCGCACGAACAAUUUCUCUCCCCAUAUCUCUAAGCAAAUCAUGCAUUAUUAGCUUGUUCUUUUCAUUAACAGAUACAAGGCACCUCUGAGUGAGGACACUAAAUCCAAUGUCUGCGAAAAAAUCACAACCAUUUAAUAUUGGUAACACAUAUUCCUUGUCCAUCCCAAUAAAGUAACAGGAUAUAUCGAGGAAUAUAUCUUUCUGCGUGUCAUCAUUCAGGCCAUCAAAACUUAUUUGGAGCUUUUUCUGAAUUUGAUCAUCAGGAAUUCUUCUCAGUUUUUCCAAUGCACUUUUCCAUUCAACUAUACUUCUACCAAAUAGAAAAGAGCCUAUUACUUCAAGUGCUAGUGGCAAUCUUCCACAGUAGUCAACAAUUUGUUCUGACAACUCCUUAUAAUCUUCGACGGGAUGGCUUGUUCGAAAGGCAUGCCAGCUAAAGAGCUCCAAAGCUUCAAUGUCAUUCAUUUCUCUGGCCAUGUAUACUCGAUCAGCUCCAAGAACUGCUAGAACAUGCUUAUCUCUUGUUGUUACAAUGAUUCUGCUUCCUGAACCAAACCAAUCUCGACUCCCCGCUAUCGCUUGUAACUGAUCUAAUUUAUCUACAUCAUCGAGUAUGAGAAGAACUCUUCUACUGUGAAGUCUUUCCUUUAUCAUAUUCAUUCCUCUGUGAACAUUGCCAAUCUUAAUCUUGUCUGUCUUCAGGAUAUCAAAAAGAAGUUGUUCUUGCAGUUUGACAUGACCAUUUGGCUGCUGUGAAAUUUCUCGAACAUUGGCAAGAAAACAUUUCCCAUCAAAACUAUGAAACAACUCAUUAUACAUGGCCUUGGCAAUGGUUGUUUUCCCUAUGCCUCCCAUUCCAUAUAUUCCUACAAUGCAGACCUCGCUUGAUCCAGCAUUUAACAAGAAGUUCAAUUGUUGCACACGAGGAUUUAUCCCAACUGGAUAGAAGGCUACGAACAAGUAUGUGCUCCUCAGUUCUCUCAAAAUCUCCCCAACAAUUUUCUUUAUAAAUUUUGCCUCAUGCCUGCAAUUAAUUGUCAACAAAAUAGUGAGACUUUAAGCAUAAAACAGCCAAUUAGAAUAUAUUAUGUAAAGCACAAUCCAAAAUAUUUUAUAAUUUGUAGUUUUCCUGAAGAAAAUCCAGCCCCAAGCAAAACAUCUCAUAUUCCUUGGAUCACCAUUUAGUUCCUCAACCCUGAAUUAUCUACUGAUAAUGAACUUCUUCGCAAUAUAUAUCGUUACUUAAAUUUUUAAAAUUAUUUAUUUCUUGAAAUCUUUUUAAUUAUAUAUUGGAUAGUGAUGCAUGAUAUCCAUACACCAUAUCGAUCACUCCUCACAAGCCAAAGAAGUGAUUUAUUGACAAAUGCUGCAUCUCGAAAAAAUCCCUAAGAUUCAAAUUUCGUUGUGUUCUUUCCCGGCUUUUGUAUUUAUCAGGACUUCAAAACAAAGAAAGUGAUUGGAUAGGGUAAGAUGUAGGAUGGAGCCUAUCAAUGAUGUUUUGGAAACUCUUUAGUAGCUCAUACUCACUGUAAUUGUGAUUUGGAUUUAAAAAAAAAUCAAGAUGAUAAAAAACUGUAUAAAAACUAAAUUGAAACCAAUUAGUCCUAUAAAAAUUAGAUAAAAAAUAAUUAAUCCUACAAAAACUAAAACAAAAUAUAUCAUGAAAAUCAAUUAAAAAAAUAAAAUGCUUAAAAAAUUCUUCAAAUGGCUUAUUUUUUGAAAAAAAUUAAAAUGAUAAUAUAUUUAAUUGAUCUGAGUUUCACGGCAUAACAACACUAUGACAAUCAUGUAAAAGUAUUUAUUUCAACAAAUAAAUCCCACAAAAAAAAACAUCACAAAGAAAAAUUUAAAAUUAACCAAAUGUUGUUUUUUAAAAAGAAAUUAUUCAAACAACAAAAUACUGGAUCAACCCUAAUUUUUUAGAUUAACUUGUCAAACAUAUGACACAGGAUAUGAUUUUAACUAGAUUUAAUAAUUUUUUAUUAAAUUUUAUUUUUUAUCUUAUAUAAUAUUUUUUAAAAAAAAAACCUGAAAGAAGCUAGAUGUGUGACCAUGGUAGACCAAUAUACCUAGGCCAUCUAAAAGAAAGAGCCUGACCUACACACUUGGGCUUGUUUUUAUUUAUUUUUUUAAUUUUUUAAGGACAAACGAUUUGUCAUCCAUCUCUUUUCUUUAAAAACUAAAUGGAUAACACAUCAACUGCUAUUAGCAAAAUUUUGUGACGGGAGGGUCACAAGAAAAACAUGGCUUUAGUUUUUUUUUUUCAAAAGACCUUAGUUUUUACUCAAAACAUCUAGAAAACACCCUCAACCUAUUUAUGGCCUCAAACCGCUUAAAAGCAGCUCAAAAACCCGAAAUCAAUCCAAAUCCAAAAAUCUUUCAAUAGGCAAAUCUACCUCCUCGUGAAAGGAGAACGAAGAAAAACACCUAGAUCAAACUUUUAUUAUCAAAUGGAACCUAUUAAAACUAAAAUUGAUCAUUUUGUGGUUAAAAGUGGUGUCUCUGAUGGUUUUUUCUCUAUAUAUCGGAAUCCAACUAGCCUCUCAUUCCUCUCACAAGAAAAUGAUCAAAAAAUAAGAAAAAUAAAGUUUGAUAUCAAAAUUGAAUUUCUAUAAACUAAAAGACCUAUUAUCUAUUAACAUAAAAAAUAUGAGGGACCAAACUAAACUUUUUUAAAGAAAUGGUUAAUAGUUAAUAGUCAACAUACUUCUUAGAAUAAUGUGAUUUCUACGAAUUUUUUUUUAUUAUUAUUAAUUAACUCUUAGCCGCUACGGGAUUGUAGUAUCAUCAAAUGGUUAAUAGACAACACACUUCUUAUAAUUUUGUGAUUUCUACAAAAGAAAAUUGUUUAUUAAUUAUUUUCUUCCCAUCUCAAGUUAUUAAUUAAUUAAGUGAAUGAUCACAGAUCACAAUCUCUCUGUUUUGAAAUUCCCAAGCAGAAAGGUUUCGUGUUUCCGCCUGAGACUCGCACGUCAAGGACUCCUUUAAUAAUAACAUGUUCAUCCUUAAUAGCUUUGUAUGCCUGCCCCAAUCAUACGAUUUCGGAUGGUAGAAAAGAAAAACAAUUUAAAUGGUUCAAUUUUAUUUUUUUUAUUAUUAUUAUAUACAAAAGGUUCAAAUUUGAGCAUUUUAUCACUUAGAUCAUAUCAUUGAUAACAUAAGAAUUACUAUUAAUUCAAAUUGUAAAGUCAAUUAAAUUAGUAAGGAUCGAUGGUUAAUUUUAUGAGUGCUUACCCGUCUGCAACAUUCCUCAAAUCCCAUCCAGACAAAUUUGCAGCUUCAGUCAAAGCCAUCCUCCACGUCGCCACCAUGUCCUUGUCCAUCUGGAGCACAAGCCUUUCUUCAUGUUCAGCAAAGGCCUCGGCAAAACUUCCAGUUUGUUCGCUUACAUCAGAUGGAUCAACAUCAUAGAAUAUAGGAAAAACAAGUUGCCUACAACUUCUCCUACACUCCAUGAUCUUCACUAGUUCCUCAAGACACCAUCUUGAAUUUGCAUAAUUUCUUGAGAACACAAUGACUGAAACCCUAGACUUUUGGAUAGCUUGUAAUAGCUCCGUCGAAAUAUCUUCACCCCUUCGGAGCUCAUUGUCGUCUCUAAAUGUGUUGAUUCCAGCAUCUUUUAAGGAAAAGUAGAGAUGAUCGGUGAAAUUUUUGCGCGUGUCCUCACCUCUGAAACUCAAAAACACAUCAUAAAUCCACGGUUUUGAAGAUGAAGACGCAGUUGAAAAUGAAGAUGUCAUUGUAACAUGAAAGCUAUGGUGGUUCGAGUGGAAGAAAGAUAAUGACCAUAAAAGUUUAUGUGAAGGACACUUAUACAGUGAGAGAGACUUGAGUAAUCGCAAUUGGAGUAAUAUCUUUAUUCGUACUCUGAUAGAUUUAUUUAAAAAAUAAAAGAUCAACCAGACAUUUCUAUAAUUUAGUUGUUUUUUUAAAUUCCCUCUAUUCCUUAAAUAAUAUAACGUUCGUAGAUAACAUUUUAUAUCAUCACUCUGAAUUUAAUAAAAUAAAUAAAUUAUUUAUAAAAUUAUCAUUAUAUUUUAUUUAAUUUAAAACUCAAUCAAUUUGUCCACUAGCCAAGGUCAGAUGCAAAAACAAAUUAACCUAAAGUUGACUUAGUUUGGUAAAUUCAAUUAAAAGCUGUUUUGUGAUAUCAUUUUGAUUUAAUCAACUCAAUCCAGAAUAACUAGAGUCUUGAAUAGAGUUAUGGGCAAAGUUAAGUCUAAUAAUAUUAAUAAAUACUAAUUAGUUUUAAUGGUAAUAAAUUUGAGUUCUUUCAAAGCUAUUAGAGACUUAUAUAAUCAUUAAUUUUAGAGUUUGUAGGAUUAGUCGAUGUGUGUGCAAACUGAUUUGGAUACCGAUGUUAAUAAAAAAAAAACAAAUAUUAAUUAAUGAGAUGAUAAAGGUUAAAUAUUAAGAUAGUGUUUGGUAUUGCAAUAACAAUUAUUUUUUAAAUAUAUUUUUUAGAAAUGACUGAAAUCUUGACUUUGCAUAAUUUCUUGAGAACACAGUGACUGAAAUCCUAGACUUUUGGAUCGCUUGUAAUAGCUCCGUCGAAAUAUCUUCACCCCUUCGGAGCUCAUUGUCGUCUCUGAAUGUGUUGAUUCCAGCAUCUUUCAAGGCAAACUAGAGAUGAUCGGUGAAAUUUUUGCGCGUGUCCUCGCCUCUAAAACUCAAAAACACAUCAUAAAUCCACGGUUUUGAAGAUGAAUAUGAAGAAGAUGAAGAUACAGAUGAAAAUGGAAGAUGUUCAUUGUAACAUGAAAGCUAUGGAAGGAUUAAUUCUCCCUCAUACUCCGACGACCAAUGAAAAGUUGCGUAUAUAUACGAGUUCUCUUUUUUUGUCCCGAGAAUAUUAAUGCAGGAGGCAAGAUUUAUGCAUGUGAAAGCGUGAAAAAAUAUUUUUCAUGUUAUAUUUGUUUUUAUAUUUUAAAAGUAUUUUAAAAAUUUAUUUUAUUUUAUUUCUUUGUUUAAAAUUUUUAUUUUUGUGUUUUUAAAUUAUUUUAAUGAAUUGAUAUUAAAAAUAAUGUUUUAAAAAUAAAAAAAUAAAUUUUAAUACAAGUAAAAUUUAAAAACAAAAUGUGUGUCAUCAUUAACUUAUUAUCAAAUCUGAAAAAGUCACUUAAAGUAGAUAGGACUUGGGAGAAUGGUAGUAAUUAGGGGUGUUCACGGUCCGGUUCGGUUCGGUUUUAAUCUAAAAAUUCAACCGAACCGAAAAACAGUAUUUCUUAUUAAUAUAACACGAACCGAACCGAUAACCGGUUCAAACCGAACCGGUUUUGUUCGGUUCGGGUUGGUUUUUUAGCAUAAAAACUAGAAAAACCAGACUCAUCUUCAUCACUGAGCUAAAUCAAAGGAAAAAUCUGACAUCAAAUAUCAAUCUAAGCUAUUAAUCACAGCAACCACUUAGAAAUUCAAGAAAAGCAACUAGAAAAAGCAAAGCCAGCUGUGAAUGCAAAGCCAGCAGCAUCAGUUUGUCCUUUCAAAGCUGUGGAAUGUUUGCAGCUUAAUUCGGGAUCUGGGGAUUUUGGUAUUUUACUCACUGGCCUUUUUAGGGCACGGACAGCCUUUGCAUUUACUAACACGCAGGACAUGUAAUUGGAUUUGCAGCAGCCAGUGCGUGUUGUACUUUUGAUAGGGUUGCUAGGCUUUCAUCUUAAUGUGUAUAGUGCUUUAUGAACCUUGAGCAUAGAGCUGAGAGACUAGGGUCCAUUAAAGGAUAAGAGAACAAUGCACAAGCUCUGUCGGCUGAUCCGUGCUCUCUUUCUUCUAGGUUGGUUUCUUGUGAUCGGGGGGAAAUAGAAGGGAAGGCUUGAGGGGGGGGGUGACGGCUGGAAUGGAGAAAAGUGAUUUAGGGUUCUAGGAAGGGGAAGGAGAAGGGAAAGGGGAAGCCUGGAGGGGGAGAGGGGGGGUUGGCGACUAGAAAUGGAGAAAGUGAUUUAGGGUUUUGGGAAAGGGAAGGGAAAGGGAAAAAGGGGAAGGCUGGAGGGGGAGGGGGGGUUGACGGCUGUUAAGAGUGUAAGUGAUUUAGGGUUAGGAAUUAUUCUUUUUAUACUCUUUUUUUAAACCGGUUCGGUUUGGUCCGGUUCAAUCGGUUUAAGCUUUUUUAAACCGGAAUCAAACUGGACCGGGUGGUUUUUUUUAUUUUUUAAUCGGUUUAUUCGGUUUUUUCUAUCGGUUCGAUUUUUUCGGUUAAUUUUUUCUCGGUUUUUUCAGUUUAAUCGGUUAGUCGGUUUUUUUUAACACCCCUAAUAGUAAUAAUAGAUUUUUGGAUUUGAUUAUUUUUCUUCUUUUAUUUUGAUCGUUUGAAAUGCUUUUUGGGAUUAAAAUUAGAAUUUAAAAGGCUUUUGAAAGGAUUUUGAAAUUAAAUAAAUUGUUUGUUUUUUUAAUAAAAAAAAAUCUGCCAACCCUAAAUUUUUAGUGAGCUUUUGGUCAUCGAAACACCAUAAUAAACAAUUCGUCAGCUUAGAAUGAGCGAUGCAUUGCCCUCAUCUACCCCUCUUUUUUUAAAAAAACAAUGCUUGGGUCAACUUUCCAAAUACAUACUUAUGAGCUAACUCACUAAUCGAGGUGUACCGCCACCUAGGCCUAGCGCAACCUAUCUCGAUUCUUUUUAAUUUAUCCUUUUUUUUCUUAAUUUUUUUGAUCCCAAAAAUUAAUUUUUAUUUUUAUAAAUAUUCAAAUAUUAUUUAUAUGUGAUUUUUUAGCCAAAUUAAUAAAUUCAAAGUUAAAAUAAAAUAACUGCUUGAUAAGUUUUACCAAAUAUUGGUGUGUAGGAAUUAGAUAGAGAUUUUCUUAUUCUUUAAAAAAAUAUUUUAACUUAAUUUAACAUCAAGAUAUGAUCAAAAUUUGUUAUUAAUUUAUUUGGGAAAACUAGAAAAUACAAGUUUUAAAUUAACACAUUUAAAAAAUAUAAGAAUUAUUUAACCAAAUUGACAUAAAUAUAAUAGUAAAUUUAAGGAUUUUGAUUUUUUUUCCCUCAAAAUGCUUACAUAAAAUCUUUAUUUUUCUCUCAUAAAUUAUAACUAAUGAUUCAAUACUUUUUUGCACUAUUCAAAUCGACAUAAAUAUAAUAUAAAAUUUAAGGAUUUUGAUUUUUUUUUCCCUCAAAAUGCAUACAUAAAAUCUUUAUUUUUCUAUCAUAAAUUAUUACUAAUAUCAGAAAUCCAUUCUUUUUAUUGAAUAAGAAAUAUUUUUAAGAUCUUUGUAACAACUAAUAAUUCAAAUUUGUUUUUUCACUUUUCAAUGACAACUUACCAUUCAAUUUAUUAUUGAUACGCUAACUCUUACCUCUUUAAAGGCUAUCUUUAAAAUUAUUGCUUAUAUAAUAAUUAGGGACCAACAUUAGGGAUCAAUUAAUUAUUCGAGUAAUUAUUUUAUUGAGCGGUCGUCUCUUCUUUUGCGUCAACUACUUGAUCAAUUUAACAUUGGGUUUUUAAUUUGAUAAAUAAUUUUUUUUUGUAUUUUAAAAAACUUAUUUUUUUAUUUUAAAUUAAUUUUUUUCAGAUUAAUUAGAUAUAUUAAUAUUAAAAAUUAAUUUAAAAAAAAUUCAUAAAUUUUCAAAUAAAAAAUCACUUUAAAAAAUAUUCAUUAUUAUAAUAUCAAAUAUAUAUUUUUUUAAAAAAUAUACACAAGGUCAACUGCACGGCACGAGACGCAUGUGCCGCGUGCAUCUUGCGAGGGCAUCGCUCAAAUAUGCUAUUUUUAUUUUAUUUUUCUAUUGUUUGAAAAAAACCUCUCUUGAGUUCUCUUGUUAAUAAACAAUAUAUAUUCUGUCAAUGUCGGCCACAAAGAUAGCAACUUGCAGAGAUAGAUAUAGAACACAAUCCAAAUCCCUUUGAAAAACAUUUUAGUUAUACGUUACUGGGGAAUUCAAUUUUUUUUUUUUUACAAGGCUGGUUACCAAAUUAAUUGGAAAUAAAUAAUUUUUUUUAUUUUAAUUAUACUAUUAGAAUACAAAAAAAAUUAAAACUAGAGUCAAUAACCAAUUUUAUAUUCUUACAAUGGUUUUUACAUAAAUAUCAUGUUAAUUUGGUAUUUGACUAGACAUAAAAGAAUAAAAUAAAAAAUCAUAGUGUUGCUCAAUUGACUAGAAACAAUUUUUUUUUUUUUUCAUGUUAAUUAUAGAUAGAAACAAUCAACAUACUGGCAGAAUAAAAAAAAUUAAAGCUAGAGUCAAUGGCCAAUUUUAUAUUUUUACAAUGAUUUUUAUAUAAUUAUCUUGAUCAAAUGAGGGUUCAAUGAGGGGUAAUUUGAUAUUUGACUUUUUUUAUAAUUGAUUUUAAAAAAAAAAAUUCUUUCAAUAUUUAAUUAAUUAGAAAUUAAAAAAAUAAUCUUGAAGAGAUAAUUCAAGUCUAUAAUAAGACGCCUACGGAAUUUAGGGCACAAAACCACCCCAACAAAUAUUGUUGGUUGCAUGCGACGUGCAAUUCGGAACAAAAGUUAUGGCGAAAAUACAGAGAGGGACGUAAAAAAUUCACAAAUCAGACUCCGACUAUCCUUGCGCUGGACUGUCCUGUCAGAAUAGUAUAGCACUUCCAAAAUCUCCUCCAUCACAAAUCAGACACAGGCAUAAUGUAUAGAUCAUUAUGUUCAACAAAAGCUUCAACAAAGACAACAUUGAAAACGCCAUGACCAGAAGAGUGAAGCUAUGCCACAUCCAUGUUUUCCUCGACACUCUGUUGACUGGUCUCAAACCUCAAUCUUUUUGCUUGAGAUGGGUUAUCACAGCUUGAUCCCUCCCCAUAAUCAUUAUCAAGACCUCUCUUACUUCAAGCCUUGCCUCGUCUUGCUCAUAUACUAGGUAUACUCCAUUCUUCUUCACAGUCAUUGUAUUUCCACAAUCUACAAUAGCUCAACUUCAUCUCACUAUCAGUUGGAAACUCUUAUUUGAUAUAUGGCCCUGCCAGAGGUGAUCUUCACAGGAUUUUACUAAGUUAACAGCUACUUUCCGACAAUCCUUGGUAAAACCCUUAGUAUGAUUAGUCAAUUUGAUUGUAAUACUUUUAGUUUGUUUUUUCUCUAAAUGAGAUGAGCAAACAAUGCACACGUUCAUGCCCUUCAAGUUCCUGCCGUCGAAUUCAGGUAGUUUAAACAAUAUUGAAGCACCCUCAUUCUUAUAGUUGAACAAGGCAGGAAUCUCAUUUCCAGGAAGUACCAAACCAGAAAACAUCCCUGCACAAAGAGUACCAUUUUUAUUUUAUAUAUUUAAACAACAACAUAAAAAUGUUUAACAAGUAAAGAGACAGAGAAAGAAUACCUUGUGCAAGCUAUUUUUUAAAGUAUUUGAGAUAUCGUAGCACCCUUCCAUGUCAAUGUCUGUAAUGGACUUCGAUUUAUCCAAUCCUGGAGCCUCAAUCAGUUUGGGGCAAUUAGCAAUAUACAGCAAACGCAUACGUGAAGCUACUGAUAUGUCUGGUAGUCUUUCCAAUGAUGUGCAGUUCAAAGCGUGCAAGACAUCCAAAUUUCUAGGUAAAUCUGGAAUUGUUUGUAGCCUGGUGUUAUCGUCCAAUCUUAGACCGUUAAGCCUCAAAAGACUACUCAAGCCAGCUGGUAGACUUUGAAAACUGUUACGGUCCAAUUCCAGUUUGGUUAGUGAGGGUAAGCUCCCAAGAUCACUAGGAAGCGCAUCAUCAGAUAGAUUGCAAUCACUGAGCAAUAAUGAUGUGAGUCUGUUUAAGCCAUGAAAAGAAGGUGGCAACAGGUUGGUUGGAUUGGGACUUUUUCUUGGCAGAAGCCAUGACAUCAAACGUGAAGGAAAUGUUGCGGAAGUUGAACCUUUACAGCCACAAAGUGAUAAAUCUUUGAGGUUCUUUAGUUUAACUAUUGUACUUGGUACCUGUCUUAUGGCAGUGUCAUCUGCAUGGAGAAUUGUCAAGGAUUCCAAAUCUCCCAAGUCCUCAGGCAAUUCAUCAAAUUUUGAGCAGCCUGAGAGGUAAAGAAUCUCGAUAGACUUCGACUUCCAGAAGCUACUCGGGAGCCUCCUAAGCUGCUUGCAAUCUUUGAGAUUUACCAAAACAAGUCUAUCAAGGUAUCCAAUAGAAUGAUGAACUUCAACCAAACUUCUGCAGUCUUUGAGUUUUAACUUCUCCAGAUGUGGAAGUCUGGAAAAGUCGGGAGUCCGAGAUAGGUAAUGAGAAUGACUGAGAUUAAGAAACUUCAACUUCAAAAGGAACUGAGGAAAAGAAACAAGAUUCAGGAGUUGGAAAGAAAUUGUUAUUGUUUGAUAGCAUACUAAAGUUUAGAUAAAUAUUUGAUAGUCUUAGCAUACCUUAGAAUUCUUAACCUGUCUGAGGUUGCUGUAUCGCAUAUCUAUAGCAACAAGGUUUUCCCCAUAGAGGCCAUCAGGUAUGAACGAGAGUGGAAAUCCAUGCCAACAGAGCCAGGUUAAUUUUCUCAAAAGAUAUUCACAGCCUCCACCAAGCUUUACAUGAUUGAGCUGGAGCAGCCUUAGGUUUUGCAGAUUGCAAAACACAUUUACAUCAACUUUCAUGUCAUUCACUUUCAGCAAGUUUAUGGCCAUCCCUUGGAUUGCUUCAGUUCCCUGUCAAUAAACCACGUCAAGAGGAAAGGAUCAGAUAUUUUCAAAACAUGAAUUUAUACGAUGAUAAGUUUGAAUGCAUUCACCAUGUUUCUUCUCAAUAUGUCACCAACUUCUUCAGGAAUCCAUAAUCUACUCCGCCUUCCUGGAUUGUUCGGUGACUGCGCACGAACAAUUUCUCUCCCCAUAUCUCUAAGCAAAUCAUGCAUUAUUAGCUUGUUCUUUUCAUUAACAGAUACAAGGCACCUCUGAGUGAGGACACUAAAUCCAAUGUCUGCGAAAAAAUCACAACCAUUUAAUAUUGGUAACACAUAUUCCUUGUCCAUCCCAAUAAAGUAACAGGAUAUAUCGAGGAAUAUAUCUUUCUGCGUGUCAUCAUUCAGGCCAUCAAAACUUAUUUGGAGCUUUUUCUGAAUUUGAUCAUCAGGAAUUCUUCUCAGUUUUUCCAAUGCACUUUUCCAUUCAACUAUACUUCUACCAAAUAGAAAAGAGCCUAUUACUUCAAGUGCUAGUGGCAAUCUUCCACAGUAGUCAACAAUUUGUUCUGACAACUCCUUAUAAUCUUCGACGGGAUGGCUUGUUCGAAAGGCAUGCCAGCUAAAGAGCUCCAAAGCUUCAAUGUCAUUCAUUUCUCUGGCCAUGUAUACUCGAUCAGCUCCAAGAACUUUUAGAACAUGCUCAUCUCUUGUUGUUACAAUGAUUCUGCUUCCUGAACCAAACCAAUCUCGACUCCCCGCUAUCGCUUGUAACUGAUCUAACUUAUCCACAUCAUCGAGUAUGAGAAGAACUCUUCUACUGUGAAGUCUUUCCUUUAUCAUAUUCAUUCCUCUGUGAACAUUGCCAAUCUUAAUCUUGUCUGUCUUCAGGAUAUCAAAAAGAAGUUGUUCUUGCAGUUUGACGUGACCAUUUGGCUGCUGUGAAAUUUCUCGAACAUUGGCAAGAAAACAUUUCCCAUCAAAACUAUGAAACAACUCAUUAUACAUGGCCUUGGCAAUGGUUGUUUUCCCUAUGCCUCCCAUUCCAUAUAUUCCUACAAUGCAGACCUCGCUUGAUCCAGCAUUUAACAAAAAAGUUCAAUUGUUUCACACGAGGAUUUAUCCCAACUGGAUAGAAGGCUACGAACAAGUAUGUGCUACUCAGUUCUCUCAAAAUCUCCCCAACAAUUUUCUUUAUAAAUUUGGCUUCAUGCCUGCAAAUAAUUGUCAACAAAAUAGUGAGACUUUAAGCAUAAAACAGCCAAUUAGAAUGUAUUAUGUAAAGCACAAUCCAAAAUAUUUUAUAAUUUGUAGUUUUCCUGAAGAAAAUCCAGCCCCAAGCAAAACAUCUCAUAUUCCUUAGAUCACCAUUUAGUUCCUCAACCCUGGAUUAUCUACUGAUAAUGUUCUUCUUCUCAGUAUGUAUCGUUACCUAAAUUAUUAAAAUUAUUUAUUUAUUGAAAUCUUUUUAAAAAUAAAUUGGAUAGUGAUGAUAUCGUUACACCAAAUCGACUAGUAGUUAGUUUAGUCCCUAACAACUAAUAAGCUCUAGAUACCAGCUCUCUUUUCAAAAGGCACGUUCUUAUAACAAAACCCACUGUGAGGUUAAGAGUAAAAACAUGAGACAAUACCUCUUCAGAGGUUAAUUAUAUAACAGAUUUGAGCCAACAUCAUCAUUGAUGUUUUCUGUGAAUCAUGUGAGAAGAUCAACUUGGAUUUGCAUCACAUGAAUCUUGGUCCAACAUUCCAAAAAAUGAUCCCAACGUUCUCCAAUUGACGGUCCAAAUUGCUUGGUUUCAAAAUUGAAAAGUGCAGGUUAGAUUUUCAAGAUCGAUCACUCCUCCCAAGCCAAUGAAUUGAGAUCACAACAUAUAUAAUCAAUAAGAGUUUCAUGACUUAACAAUACUAUGACAAUCAUGUAAAAGUUAAAUUUCAACAAAAAAAAUCUCAUAAAAAAAAAAUACAUUACAAAGACAAAUUCAAAAUAAACUAAAUAUUUUUUUUAAAAAUUCAAUCUAACAUAAUUUUUAAAAAAUUAUUCAAAUAACAAAAUAUUAGAUCAACUUGAAUUUUUUAGAUUAACUUGUCAAACUUAUAACACAAGUCAUGAUCUCAAUUAGAUUUCAUAAUUUUUUUUAUUAAAUUUAUUUUUUACCUAAUAUAAUUUUUUUUUUUUAAAAAAGCCUAAACAGAGUCAAAUGUGUGAGCAUGGUAGACCAAUAUGCUUGGGCCAUCUAAAAAAAAGAGCCCCACCCUCAAAACUAGGCUUGUUUUUAUUUAAUUUUUAAGGGAUCAACACCCUGUCAUCCAUUUAAAAAAAAAAAACUAAACAAAUAACACGUUAACUGUUGUUUUUAAAAUUUUGCGAUUGGAGGGUCACAAGAAACAUAGAGCUUUUGUGGUCAAAAUUGAUGUUAGUGAUGAUUUUCUUUCUCGACUUUGAAAUUCAACUAGCCUCUCUCCUCUCAUAAAAAAAAGAUCAAAAAAUAAAAAAAAUAAACUUUAUUUUUAAGGGAUAAACAACCUGUCAUCCAUUAAAAAAAAAAAAAAACUAAACAAAUAACACGUUAUCUGUUGUUUUUUAAAUUUUGCGAUUGGAGGGUCACAAGAAACAUAGAGCUUUUGUGGUCAAAAUUGAUGUUAGUGGUGAUUUUCUUUCUCGACUUUGAAAUUCAACUAGCCUCUCUCCUCUCAUAAGAAAAAGAUCAAAAAAUAAAAAAAAUAAAGUUUAUUGUCAAAAUUAAAUUUUUACCAACUAAAAAACCAAUUAUAUAUUCACAUAAAAAUAUGAGUGACCAAACAAUUUUUUUUUCAAAGAAAUGGUUAAUAGUUCAUGGUCAACAUACUUCUUAGAAUAAUGUGAUUUCUACGAAGACAUUUUUUUUUUUUUAAUUAACUCUUAGCCGCUACGGGAUGAUAUAAUCAUCAAAUGGUUAAUAGACAACACACUUCUUAUAAUUUUGUGAUUUCUACAAAAGAAAACUGUAUAUUAAUCAUUUUCUUCCCAUCUCAAGUUAUUAAUUAAUUAAGUGAAUGAUCACAGAUCACAAUCUCUCUGUUUUGAAAUUUCCCAAGCAGAAGGUUUCGUGUUUCCGCCUGAGACUCGCACGUUAAGGACUCCUUUGGUAUCAUUGCCAUUUGCAAUUUUUUUGUUUCAUUGAAAUUGUUUUUAAAAUUUAUAGCAUUUUUUGACAUACAAGUUGUUAGUUCUUCUACCAAAAUUAUACUUUAUUUUAACAUCUUCAUCCUUAAUAGCUUUAUCGUACGAUUUCGGAUAAUAGAAAAAAAAAAAACAAUUUAAAUGGUUCAAAUUCGAGAAUUUUAUCACUUAGAUCAUAUCAUUGAUAACAUAAGAAUUACUAUUAAUUCAAGUUAUAAAGUCCAUUAAAUUAGCAAGGAUGGUUAAUUUUAUGAGUGCUUACCCAUCCGCAACAUUCCUCAAAUCCCAUCCAGACAAAUCUGCAGCUUCAGUCAAAGCCAUCCUCCACGUCGCCACCUUGCCCUUGUCUGUCUGGAGCACAGACCUUUCUUCAUGUCCAGCAAAGGCCUCUGCAAAACUUCCAGUUUGUUCGCUCACAUCAGAUGGAUCAACAUCAUAGAAUAUAGGAAAAACAAGUUGCCUACAGCUUCUCCUACACUCCAUGAUCUUCACUAGUUCCUCAAGACACCAUCUUGAAUUUGCAUAAUUUUUUGAGAACACAAUGACUGAAAUCCUAGACUUUUGGAUAGCUUGUGGUAGCUCCGUCGAAAUAUCUUCACCCCUUCUGAGCUCAUUGUCGUCUCUGUAUGUGUUGAUUCCAGCAUCUUUUAAGGCAAAGUAUAGAUGAUCGGUGAAAUUUUUGCGCGUGUCCUUGCCUCUAAAACUCAAAAACACAUCAUAAAUCCACGGUUUUGAAGAUGAAUAUGAAGAUGAAGACGCAGAUGUCAUUGUAACAUGAAAGCUAUGGUGGCGAGAGAAAGAACGUGAAAUGGUACAAAAUUAAUGACUCCAAAAACCGAGGUGUUCCGCUACCGAGGCCUAGGGCAACCUAUCUCAAUUCUUUUUAAUUUAUCCUUUCAUUUCUUAAUUGUUUUCAUCCCAAAAAUUAAUUUUAUUUUUAUAAAUAUUAAAAUAUUAUUUUAUAUGUGAUUUUUUAUUCAAAUUAAUAAAUUCAAAGUUAAAAUAAAAUAAGUGAUUGAUCAGUUUUACCAAAUCUUGGUGUAGGAAUUAGAUAGAGUUUAUCUUAUGUUUCUUUUAAAAAAUAUAUUUUAACUUAAUUUAACAUCAAAAUUAGUUAUUAAUUUAUUUGGGAAAACUAGAAAAUACAAGUUUUAAAUGAACACAUUUAAAGAACAUAAGAAUUAUUUAACCAAAUUAACGAAAAAAAAUGAUUGAAAUAAAUAAUUGACAUAAAUAUAAUAGUAAAUUUAAGGAUUUCGAAUUUUUUUUUUCUCAAAAUGCUUACAUAAAAUCUUUAUUUUUCUCUCAUAAAUUAUAACUAAUGAUUCAAAUAUUAUUUUACUUGUAACUUAUUUAUAUAUUUUUGUAAGAUUAACAUAAAUAUCUGAAUCAAUUUUCAUACAUCUUAUUUAAUUUUAUGGAUCUAAAAUUAAUAAUUAUAUAUACUUAAGCUUAUAUCUAUUAAAUUUAAAAUUUAACGAAUUAUACUAACUGAUGAACUUAUUUAUAUUUUUCCUGUAAAAGAGUUGACUGUAAGUGGGAAGCCAGCCAUAAAUCCAUGCUAAUUCAUUAUUUUAUUAUUUUAUUUUAUAUGGUGGGAAUUGUUUUAUUGUUUUUUCAAGAGAGGUGCAUGUGCCGCGUGCAUCUUGCGAGGGCCUCGCUCAAAUAUGCUAUUUUUUUUUUCUAUUGUUUGAAAAAAACCCCUUGAGUUCUCUUGUUAAUAAACAACAUAUAUUCUUUGUCAAUGUCGGCCACAAAGAUGGCAACUUGCAGAGAGAUAUAUAUAACAAUCAAAAUACUCUUAAAAAACAUUUCAGUCACGUGAGUGAAAAUACUAUUUUAAUAUUUUUAUCACGCAAUCAAAAAAUUUAAAUACGUUACUGCGGAAUUGAAUUUUGUUUUACAGUGCUGGUUAAUAAAUUGAUUGGAAACAAGUAUUUUUAUUUUAUUUUAAUUAUAGUAUAAACAAAAUUAAAACUAGAGCCAAUGGCCAAUUUAAUAUUUUUACAAUGGUUUCUAUAUCAUUAUCAUAUCGAAUAAGAGGUAAUUUGGUAUUUAACUAGACAAAAUAAAAUAAAAUAAAAAAUCAAAGUGUUGCCAAAUUUAUUGGAAACAAAUGAAUUUGUUUUUUAAUUUUAAUUAUAUAGAGAAACAAUCAAAAUACUCCUGAAAUUAAAAAAUUAAUAAAGCUGGAGUCAAAAGCUAAUUUUGUAUUUUUACAGUACUUUUUACAUAAUUAUCAUGUCAAAUGAAGCGUAAUUUAAUAUUUGGCUAGGCAUCAAAUUUUUUUAAAAACACAUUUUUUUAAAACAUUUUAUAUAAUUGAAUUUCUUUAACCUUUGAUAUUUUUACAGUAGUUUUUACAUUAUUAUCAUGUCAAUGAGGGGUAAUUUGAUAUUUGACUAGGUAUAAUUUUUUAAAAAAAUAUAUAUAUAAUUUUUUUUGUUUUGAAUCCUUUUAUAUAAUUAAAUUUUUUUAGCCUUUGAUCUUUAAUUUUUUUUUAAUCUUAGUCAAAUUAAGGUCUGAUUAAGUCUUUUUUUUCUUUAAUUUCUCUUCAAUCAAAUCCUCAUUUAUCAUCUAAAAAUUUUCAAACUUUAUUUUUGCUUGUGAUGCUCAAUUAAUAGUUAUAUUUUAACCCCAACUAUAUUUUUAAUUUUUAUAUAUACAUUUUAUUUAAUUUUUUAUUUUAUUUAUUGAUGAUUUUUAUUGUUUUUAACACAAAAAAAUUAAAUAAAAAUAACAGCUAUAAUAAAAUAACUAAAUUCAUUGAAAAUACUUUUUUUUCUCGCGUAAUUUUGACAAAUUAUCGGAGCGCUCUGUAUUUUAAAAAAUAAAGUAGAUCAUAGCUUUUGGUUUGUGGGGACUAAAACAUUCAAUUAUUAUAAAAAAAUAUUUUUUUUUAUGUGUUUUAAAUCAUUUUGAUACGUUGAUUUAAAAAAAAAAAAUAUUAUUUUAAUGUAUUUCAGCACAAAAAAUACUUUAAAAAACAACCAUAAUGAUACUUACCGCAAUUAAGUACUUCUCUCGAGUUUUUGCUUCUCUCAAAAUGUCAUUUUUUUGCCUCUUUAUUUUGCUUGUCUCAUGUUGUCAUUUUUUACUGUUCACAGUCAAUGUUUCAUUGAGUUUUGUUGUUGUUUCUUCUUUGAUUAUUGAUGACCGGGGAUGGGUUGCAUUGAUGGAGAAUGAAGUGUUAAGGUCAAACGUCCUUUUGUCUUACUGAGUUUUUUUUUUUGAUGGACAGGCCUACCUUACCUAAUGUUUUGCAUCAUGAAAACUCCAGGACGUGUUAAUUUAAAAGAUAUCAUGAUGGGUAAUAUACAAUUAUUUUCUUUUAUUAUUUAUUAAAGGUAAAAUAAUUUUUUUGUUUUUUUAGUUUAUUUUAUAUAUAGUUUUUUAUAUUUUGGUUAAGUUAAAUUUUUCUUAAAUAUUUAAUUAUUUAUUAUGCUUCUUUAUUAUUUUUUAUAUUUCUUUGGAUUGUUUGUUUGAGAGGAGGCUGAAGGAGGAGGAGGGAGUUCUGGGUUUAGUGCUCGAUGGUGAUUUCUGUUUGUUUAUAUGGUGAUGGUCAUGGGUAGGAAGUCAAUGGGAGAGGAGAGUGGUUAAAAAUGAUAGCUAACGACUAUUGGAGAUGUCAUGGUUGUUGUCAUGGUUUGGUUCUGUGAUUAUUGGAGAUGGCUGUUGAAGUUAAAAAUGAUAGCUAACGACUGAGAACUGAAGCUGAAUUACUGGGAGGAUUUUGGAUAUUGAAGCUAAAAGGAUUUUGGCUGUUGAAGGGUGUUUUGAUGAUGGUUUUUUUUAAGUUGAAUCUGGUUGAAGACUGUGUUGUAACUUUUUUAUAUAUAUAUAUUAACGUGGGUGUCUGGGCUAUAGUUUUGAAACCUGACCCGGUCAAGUGAUCGGGUCACAGGUCAGAUGGGUUAAUUCGGGUCAACCUAAAAAAAUUAAUUAUAACCCACUAACCCAUUCAGUUCAUCAGGAACAUCUUCACCAGCACAUGAACUAUACUCAUAAUAAAACCCCUUACGAGGAACCAAGGAAUUUCCAAAAUCAGCAUACUUACAAUCCAUGUUUAGUUUAUUUUUACCUUGGCAACUACCACUAGCUUUUCCAUUUGCUUCAAUCGAGUAGAAGAGGAAAAUGAUUGAUUCAUUUAAAAAUUAAAAAAAUAAUUAAUUGAACAUUGUUCUGUUCACAAAAUUCUUAGCUGUCACUGAAAGGGAAUACAAAUACCCUUAGCAACAAGAAUACAAAAGCAAAGAUAACAAAAAUUCCAAAAUCACUAAUCUUUCUUUCUUUCUUUUUUGUUGUUCUUUUUUACAGUUAUAGCUCAAAUCUUACAACAGCUAAUCCAUUGUACUUUCCUCAACAACCACAAAAGACAAACACGAUUAGUACUUUUAAGCUAAGAUUACCUGGAUUGGGGGGGUUCCGUUUGGAUCGACGCCUAUAUUUCUUCUUUUCCUUAUCAACAGUAUCAUCACCCCCCUCAACCACUGUUACUGCCGAUUGCUCACUCAAACUUCUCAUACCUGAAACCAAGGCACCUUCUGAUUGUUAAAAAAUAUCAUGGAAGAACCGAUGAUAAUGGGAUAUAAAAUUAAAACGAAAAUCAAGAAAGAAAAAAAGGGGAAAGAGAUGUAGGUUCUUAUAAAGAGGCAGUGUGGGAAGCUAAAAAGGAAAAGAGGGACGUGAUUAUUGAUCGGCUGAGACAAACUCUUAUAACGACGUCGUUUAAUGGCUGCUAAUAUUAAAAAAAAAAAUAGACCGGGUCUCACCCGGGUUUGAGCGGGUGGACCGAGUUCCUGGUCGACCCGCCGAGUUGACCGGGUUUCACCGGGCCAACUCCUAAGCGGGUUUUUACCUUCACCCGGACCGGUCCUAGGCCCGGGUCGGCCGGGUCGCGGGUCGGCCCGCCAGGCUAGUCCGGGUUUCAAAACACUGGUCUGGGCCAGCUUGCGUGUACCUUGACUAGUUUCAUGAGCCAUGAAGUUAAUGAUCAUGUAAGUUUCUAGUGGUCCUGAGAUUUGGGGGAUUUAAGCUAGUGAUUUCUAGAACGUAAAUGUAAAACCUGACUAGUUGAACUAAGUUGUUAAUUAUGGAGAAGGAGAGAAGGUUAUUGUCAUGGUAUGUGUUGGCUUUUGAAAACUAUAGAGACUGACCUCAUAUAAAUAAUGAUAGCAUUUUGGUGACAAAAACAAGCUUUUUUUCGACGAGGUCCACUUAGCCACAAGCUAGACAUUAUUUGAAUUAUGGGAUUCAUGAGCUUGGAGAAUUACAAUAUAAAUACGAAAAGCUCCUCCAGCCACAUGUUUAUUUAUGCUAGAUCUUUACUUUAUUACAAUCAUAGACCAUACGGAUGCAGUUUAAUCACAUCCAGAAAUGAUUAAGCAAGACAUGAUGGUCAAUAAUUAUUCAUGAUUCCAAGCCAAAAGAAGGGCCAUCUAAAGGAAGAGGAGAGAGGGACACCAUGACAUUCCGGUUGCUAGAAAAACCUAAUUAAUCUCCUAAUGCUUUAAAGCAUGAUAUAUAAUAUAUAUAUAUAUAUAUAUAUAUAUAUAUAAAGACCAGAUUUGAAAACCUACAUUAACCUAGAUAUAAAAGCUGCCGAAUACUAAUCUCCAAAGAAAAUGGAAGUCUCUUUAAUCUCUGGUGAUUGAAAAGAAAAAUAUAAACAUAUUAAGGAUCUGGUUUUUCGAUGGGGAUGAAGGUUGAUAUUGGUUUUUGUGGAAUUCUAGAGGUUGAUGUUCGUCUCCUAGCUAGCUGAUUGAGAGGCUACUGAGUUCAUUUGGGGAUGAUGUUUAGGGUAUGGUGAUCUCGGGUAAAGCCUGGUUGUUUCGGUGAAGGCUGUUGAAUCAAGGGUUGGAGAAGGGAUGGUUUAUGGCUUGAGGUUUCCGUUUGAUUUUGGUGAAGGAUUGGUGGUGGUGUUAGGCAAGGCAGUGAUGGUAUUGAAGGAAGGUUGAGGGCUGGUAAUGUCUUUUCUGGUUCUCUCUUUCUCCCUGUGCUGGUGUUGGUUCUUGAGGAACCUGAGCCUAUUCUUCGUCCUUUUUAAGUUUUUAAGGAGAAUCUAAAAUUAAUGCAGUCUCAAAUGAUUUUUAGGACUUGCUUCCUGGAGAUUUGAUUGUAGAUUUGGACUUGAUAUCAACCAAGCAUUAGUGUUUUCUUUCAUUAUUUCUGAACGUGUCUUUUUUAUAUUUUGCUCCUUUCAAGUUUUCAAUUCUUUAUUGUUCAUAGUCAAUGCAUUGUUGAAACUCUAAUAAUAACAUUAUAGGUACUAUUAGAAAAAUCUCGACAAGAUCAAUUCAAUGAUACAAAAAAUUUAGACUUUAGAAUAAUUAAGAUUUAGCUUAAUACGGUAGAGAUUUCCUCAUAAAAAAAAAAAUCUACCUUGAACCUUAGCUAAAACCAUGACUUCCAUGACCUUUUCAGAAUACGGGAAAAGAUCUGAGAUGAUACAAUUAGUUGAAGGGGAUUGCCAAAAAUCAAGAUUGAGAAAUUACUGCACAUAACCAAAGUACACUACUCCAUAGACAACAUAAAGAAGUUGGCGUCAAUUCUAGGGUACAUAUAUGAGAAUCUGUUUGAGAAAAAGUAUGGGAGAAUUGCUCAUUUAAUAAGGAUUCUCGUUCAAAUUUCAGUAGUUAAAGCUUUGAUGCACUUCUAGAAUCCGACCUACAGAUGUUUCACAUUCGAGGAUGUUGAUAUGACCCCUACCCUUGAAGAGUAUGCCUAGAUCUUGAGUUUCCCAAAUGACCCUCACAAAGUGUAUUUCAGGCAAAGAUUUGAGAGGACAACUGCAACGGUUGUAAAAUUACUGCAUCUAGACCAAGUUGAUUAGUAUAAGACAUCUAAUGGAGGGUUUAAGUGGAAGAUGAUUGAGAAUAAACUGAAGAUAAAUAAAGAAAAAAAAAAGUUGGGCAAAGAAAGGUAUCAAAUAGUUGUUUUCAUCAUUUUUAAGGUAGUUCUGUUUCCUUCAAAAACUCUUGGGAUUAUCAUCAUUGAAGCUGCUAACGCCUUUAUUGAAUUUGAAUAGACAAAGAAUAACCCAACUGCAGCUAUCUUAGCUGUAACUUUCCUAUCUCUAAGCCAUUAUAGGCUGCACGAAAAAGGGGUAAUGUGGUGUUGUGUUCCUUCAUUAUUCAAAUGGAUAGUUAGCCACUUGGAAACAUCAAAACAAGUCUUCAAUAAUUUCUGGUGGUUUAACAUGAGGCUUCUUGGGGUUGGUACUAGAUGAAGAUUGGAACGACAUGGAUGAAAAGGCAUGGGUAAAGAAAUACCAAGCACUCCCUCAGAGUAAUUUCAAAUGGAAAGCUUUUUGGGUAAAUAGCUUGACUUAUCUCAUGAGUUGUGGCGACAAAGCAUGUGUUUCAUUAAUUGACUUAGCUGGUUAUAUUAACUACUCACCCUCAUUGGUAGCCAAACAAUUUAGUAUUAUGAUUAUUAUGAACCCUAACUGGUCAACAGAGAUUAUAUGGUACAAAACUGGUUACAUAAAAGGGAAUAUAUUAUCACCCCUUAAGCGUUCUACUUGAGGCAAGUUUCAUUGCUGGUUUUGUCUAAAAUUGUUAAGAAUUUGUUCUCCUCUUUUUCUUAUAAUAUUCCUGACUCUAGCGUAGUGAAUAUUUAGCUAUGAAUAUUUCAUACUCUAGUGUUGGUAAAUAUUGCACAAACUCAAAAAGUGUGAUAUUUCCUAUUUUAGCGCUAGUAAAUAAAUUCAAAAAAAUUGAAUUUUUAAUUGAAGAAAAAACAUUUUUUCUGUGCCUUUCUCUCUCUCUUCUUUUUUUUUUUUUUUUGCUUUGUUUAGACAAGAAGAAAAAAUGAUGCAUUGCAUAACUAGUUUGUGUUUAAUUGUAAAGGUUCGUCGAUUUAACAUGCAACGGAUGCAACAAAAAAAAACAAUACGCAAAGAAAAAAAAUAAAACAAAAUAUGAGGGGCCAUAAAUAAAUCAAUAAAGAUCCCUGAAUAUUUCUAGAAUUUUCAUAUAUAAAAAAAACUCAUUUGAUUAGAUAUCAAAACAAAUAGACAAUAAAAUUCAUAAGAAUUAAAGGCACAUGGAUGUGUUUUACAUGUACCUAGCUAAAAGUAUGUACUUUUUUUUUACUAGGCUGGAUCUAGCCCAAUCAUACAAAUUAGGCCGGACCUAGCUGGCCCGGCCUGAUCAUUGGCCAAGCCAUUGAACCAGCCAGGCAGGCCAAGCCAUUGAACCGGCCAGGCAAAACUGCAUGCAUGCGUGAAUUAUUCACGCACGCAAUGCAUAAUGCGAAGUAAUUAUAAUUCCGUUCACACUGUAUCAAAUGAACAGAAUUUGCAAAGUGGGAAAGAGACUCACCUGGCGCUGUUGAAUUAGAGCUACAGUCCCAGANNNNNNNNNNNNNNNNNNNNNNNNNNNNNNNNNNNNNNNNNNNNNNNNNNNNNNNNNNNNNNNNNNNNNNNNNNNNNNNNNNNNNNNNNNNNNNNNNNNNGAGAAGAGAGGAAGCUGACUCCGAUGGAGAAGAGCUUCUCACGACUGAGGAGCUGAUGGACACUGGCCGGAGGAGCACGGUGGGGAGAGAGGUUUCCCAGUUGGAGCUUGCAGCCUGCUGCCGUUUACGGCUGGUACAGAGCUGCUUGCUGGAGGAAGAUCUUCUCGGUGGUGACUGGUACUGUGUUGUUGAAACCAGUACUGCCGCUGCUGGGAAGAGAAGGUUGCUGCUGGUUCUGCCACUGCAGCUGAGGAAAGGUGUGGCUGAGGAGCACCUGCUGUCGCUGCUUCAAUGGAAAAAAAAGACUCCAGGUGCUGCUGCUACUAGGUAUACUCCAUUCUUCUUCACAGUCAUUGCAUUUCCACAAUCUACAAUAAGCUCAACAUCAUCUUCACUAUCAAGUUCGAAGCUCUUAUUUGAUAUAUGGCCCUGCCAGAGGUGAUCUUCACAGGAUUUUACUAAGUUAACUGCUACUUUCCGACAAUCCUUGGUAAAACCCUUAGUAUGAUUAGUCAAUUUGAUUGUAAUACGUUUAGUUUGUUCUUUCUCUAAAUGAGUUGAGCAAACAAUGCACACAUUCAUGCCCUUCAAGUUCCUGCCGUCGAAUUUUGGUAGUUUAAACAAUAUUGAAGCACCCUCAUUCUUAUCUCUUGUUGUUACAAUGAUUCUGCUUCCUGAACCAAACCAAUCUCGACUCCCCGCUAUCGCUUCUAAUUUAUCUACAUCAUCGAGUAUGAGAAGAACUCUUCUACUGUGAAGUCUUUCCUUUAUCAUAUUCAUUCCUCUGUCAACAUUGCCAAUCUUAAUCUUGUCUGUCUACAGGAUAUCAAAAAGAAGUUGUUCUUGCAGUUUGACAAGACCAUUUGGUUUCUGUGAAAUCUCUCUGACAUUGGCAAGAAAACAUUUCCCAUCAAAACUACGAAACACCUCAUUAUACAUGGCCUUGGCAAUGGUUGUUUUCCCUAUGCCUCCCAUUCCAUAUAUUCCUACAAUGCAGACCUCGGUUGAUCCAGCAUUUAACAAAAAGUUCAAUUGUUGCACACGAGGAUUUAUCCCAACUGGAUAGAAGGCUACGAACAAGU
rnacentral:lncRNA from 1 species